CAUUUGGUGGGGGGGCCUCAGCUCAGAUUGCGAGAGGGUGCAGGCCAGGCCAAGGGACCCCACCAGUGCACG
rnacentral:pre_miRNA from 1 species